rnacentral:rRNA from 1 species
UACGUAGGCAGCAAGCGUUGUUCGGAGUUACUGGGCGUAAAGGGUGCGUAGGCGGUUCCUUAAGUUUGCUGUGAAAUCUCCCGGCUUAACCGGGAGGGUGCGGUGAAUACUGAGGGACUAGAGUACGGGAGAGGAAAGUGGAAUUCCUGGUGUAGCGGUGAAAUGCGUAGAUAUCAGGAGGAACACCGGUGGUGUAGACGGCUUUCUGGACCGUAACUGACGCUGAGACACGAAAGCGUGGGUAGCAAACAGG